rnacentral:rRNA from 1 species
ACACGAACCGUCCAAACGUUAUUCGGAAUUACUGGGCUUAAAGGGUGCGUAGGCGGUGCGGUAAGUUGGGUGUGAAAUCCCUCGGCUCAACCGGGGAACUGCGCUCAAUACUGCCGUACUUGAGGGAGACAGAGGUAAGCGGAACUGAUGGUGGAGCGGUGAAAUGCGUUGAUAUCAUCAGGAACACCAGUAGCGAAAGCGGCUUACUGGGUCUCUUCUGACGCUGAGGCACGAAAGCUAGGGUAGCGAACGGGAUUAGAAACCCCAGUAGUCC